UCCUACUGAGCCAGGAAGCCUUCUUAUGUCGGCUUCCGGAGUAAAGGAACACACACCCACGUUCUCUGGGCCUGGAAAGUCAACUGCCCAAAGUUGUAGGGAUGCAUCCUAGGAUCCCGCAGUUGCUUUGCACAGCUUUGGGGGUUCCUCGCGUUUCUCUUUAAGGAAGCCUGUACAGGGUGUCUUCCCGCUCCCCAGGAGUUCCCUAAACCUGGUCUGACCAAGCCAUGCCUUUGGGAACCACUGAGGAACAGGUCCUGGUAUACAAGGAGACCAUGUGACUCUCAAGAUGUUCCUUUAGUGUGUUUGGGAAAGGGUGGGGCUGAAUUUUCUUGGGAGAGGGCUUCCAGGUAGCAUUUCCUGUGCCCUCCUAGGUGGUGUAGUGGAGCUGGGUGCACACUGGAUCCAUGGGCCCUCCCAGGGCAAUCCUGUCUUCCAGCUGGCUGCGGAGUUCGGGCUCCUGGGGGAGAAAGAAUUAUCGGAAGAGAACCAGCUGGUGGAGACAGGAGGGCACGUGGCCCUACCCUCCGUGAGCUGUACCAGUUCUGGAACAAGUGUGAGCCUGGAGCUGGUGACAGAGAUGGGCAGUUUGUUCUAUGGACUGAUAGACCGGACCCGAGAAUUCCUGAAUGAAUCGGAGACCCCAAUGGCCAGUGUUGGCGAGUUCUUGAAGAAGGAGAUAAGUCAGCAGGUGGCUA
rnacentral:lncRNA from 1 species